rnacentral:rRNA from 1 species
GGGUUGUGAGGUUAAGCGACUAAGCGUACACGGUGGAUGCCCUGGCAGUCAGAGGCGAUGAAGGACGUGCUAAUCUGCGAUAAGCGUCGGUAAGGUGAUAUGAACCGUUAUAACCGGCGAUUUCCGAAUGGGGAAACCCAGUGUGUUUCGACACACUAUCAUUAACUGAAUCCAUAGGUUAAUGAGGCGAACCGGGGGAACUGAAACAUCUAAGUACCCCGAGGAAAAGAAAUCAACCGAGAUUCCCCCAGUAGCGGCGAGCGAACGGGGAGCAGCCCAGAGUCUGAAUCAGUGUGUGUGUUAGUGGAAGCGUCUGGAAAGGCGCGCGAUACAGGGUGACAGCCCCGUACACAAAAAUGCACAUGCUGUGAGCUCGAUGAGUAGGGCGGGACACGUGGUAUCCUGUCUGAAUAUGGGGGGACCAUCCUCCAAGGCUAAAUACUCCUGACUGACCGAUAGUGAACCAGUACCGUGAGGGAAAGGCGAAAAGAACCCCGGCGAGGGGAGUGAAAAAGAACCUGAAACCGUGUACGUACAAGCAGUGGGAGCACGCUUAGGCGUGUGACUGCGUACCUUUUGUAUAAUGGGUCAGCGACUUAUAUUCUGUAGCAAGGUUAACCGAAUAGGGGAGCCGAAGGGAAACCGAGUCUUAACUGGGCGUUAAGUUGCAGGGUAUAGACCCGAAACCCGGUGAUCUAGCCAUGGGCAGGUUGAAGGUUGGGUAACACUAACUGGAGGACCGAACCGACUAAUGUUGAAAAAUUAGCGGAUGACUUGUGGCUGGGGGUGAAAGGCCAAUCAAACCGGGAGAUAGCUGGUUCUCCCCGAAAGCUAUUUAGGUAGCGCCUCGUGAAUUCAUCUCCGGGGGUAGAGCACUGUUUCGGCAAGGGGGUCAUCCCGACUUACCAACCCGAUGCAAACUGCGAAUACCGGAGAAUGUUAUCACGGGAGACACACGGCGGGUGCUAACGUCCGUCGUGAAGAGGGAAACAACCCAGACCGCCAGCUAAGGUCCCAAAGUCAUGGUUAAGUGGGAAACGAUGUGGGAAGGCCCAGACAGCCAGGAUGUUGGCUUAGAAGCAGCCAUCAUUUAAAGAAAGCGUAAUAGCUCACUGGUCGAGUCGGCCUGCGCGGAAGAUGUAACGGGGCUAAACCAUGCACCGAAGCUGCGGCAGCGACGCUGAUGCGUUGUUGGGUAGGGGAGCGUUCUGUAAGCCUGUGAAGGUGU